CGGGAGGAAGAUGCUCCCUUCACCAUUUCUAUCCCCCGAAAGCUCAUUGUCCGAAGUCGCUGGGGCAGUCAGCCAUUUCCUAGUGCAGCGAGGCUGGGUGAGAAGUCCUUUUUAGGCAAGGCAUUAAAAGGAGUUGGCUGAGCAGAUCUAAAAUACCUUGGUCAACAGGGCGGAGCCAGCCCUGGAGCAGAAGUAUUACUUCACAGUUGCAUCGGCUUCCUGUGGCUGCCAAUAGAGGCAGCAUCUGGCGGCCAGCCUACCGCAGAGAAGAGGGAACUCCACGGAGAAGAAAAUAGCAACGAGGCCCCAAAGGUGGAAGUGCAGCCUGAGAAACUUCAGCUGGCUGGGACUGCUCUGCCAGCUCGCAUUGCCACUCUGCAGAGCAUGGCGUAUGGCACCCCUUGGGCUUUACAAUACUUGAUAUGCGUCCUAUGACGGAGAAACUGAAGCUCAGAGAGGUAAAAUAACUUGCCCGAGGACUCACAGCCAGGAAACAGAGGAGCUGGGAUUUGAACCCCCUGCGUGGUCAGCUGCGGAGCCCAGAUCACCACAGCAGCAACCUGAGUUCUCAAGUGGAGAUCAAGAUGACGAGGUAAAGUUGCUGGGGGAAGAUGUGAUAAGGACACACAACACCUCUCUUCUCCAUCUGAGUUCUAGAUCCCCUGAGAAAGAAGACAAAGAAUCAUCAAAUAGGGUUCAAAUAUCCCUUUUAUUAAGCUGAUGUGGAGACUGUGGCGUCUAUGAAGCAAGGGGCCUUCUCAUACCGAGCCCCAAAGUCAGGCAGACUUCCUCUGGAGCGCUGGAUCCCCGAAGUCCUCCCCACGCCCACUCCACAGAGGAGACCUGCCCCUGGAGGGGCAGAUGAAAAGGUGUGGUCUCGAGAGGCAGAUUGCACCCCAAGGAGGGAACGAGAGAAAGAAGAUGGGCCACGCAGCCCCUUUCACUCUCCCACUCAGGUAAGUGACUCCAUCUCCCCAGGGGAGACAUGAAGGUGGGACAGAGGCCAAGAGUGUUUUGGGAAAACCCCUAGGUUUCUAAACAAAAAGUAGGCAAGAAGCAUUCUAAGCAUUUGCUGCCUAACGAGCUCUGUAUACAAAGGUUAUCAUGAGUAUCUUUAAUCGCCCACCACCACCACAAGAAUUUAGAGGGUACACUGAAUAGUGGUUAAGAGCUCAGCCUGGGAGCAAGCUGCCUGGUUUUGAAUCCAUGCUCUGCCACUUACUAACUCUGUGACCUUGAGCAAGUUAUUUACCCUUCCUGGGCCUCUGUCUUGUCAUCUGUAAAAUGCAGGUACUUGUAGUACCUUCCUCACGGGGUGGUUGUGAGGAUUGAAUGAAAGAAAGUCUAUAACGAGCCAAAAACACUCAAGGGUAAGAGCAAAACAAAUGUAAGUUAUUACCGGUGAGUUUGUCUUAUAAAAGCCACGGGCUCCUUAAAUUAAACGGGAAAUAAAAUACCAAGCUGGCCAAGAAUUGCAAAGCAAUUAUCUCACUUGACCCAAAGCAAAAAAUAAUUACAGUCAACUCCUGAUCAUAGUUGUGAUCUUAGGACCAUGAAAACCAUCGCCCAGUGCCACCACCUCCUGCCCCAACUUCCCACAGAAUUACAUUCUUCAUCCUGUGAAACUCAAGUCUCUUUGAUCCCCCCAAACCCCAUUACACACAACUUUCUUGUCUUAGUCCUUUUAAAUUAUUGUCCCCUCGUAUGGACAGCUGCGAGGAGAUUGUCAAAGAGAAAAAUCCUCAUGAGAUUUUGUAUAUUUGUAUGUCACCGGUUGCACUGAGCAAUGAGGUUGGCAGAGAUAAGGGGCCGGGCUGGUUUGGGGCUGGCGGUGCAAGUGUGAACUGUGGUUAUGUUAACUAAGAGGGAGCCGUCUGGUGGCUGCACCAAGAAGAGUUCCUGGUGGUCAGUUUGCAUUACGAGGGCGGUAAAUAUUCAAGAAGGGAAAGCUGAGAAAGAUUCAAAGUUGGAGGAGACUGGGAAUAUUUUCUGGAAGUCUGGAAUUUGUGCAGCGGGUGCUCAGGUCAGGAUAGAGACCUCAAAGCUGACUGAACAGAUCUCUUCUCUCAAAACAGAGGAGCGUGAGAUGGUGUCAUAUGUGCAGGUUUUGGAGUCAAAUAGAACAGGGUUUAAGUCCUACUUGUACUUACUGCCUCCUUGUUAUAUGAUCUCGGGUAACUCAAAUGUCAGUGUCCCCAUGUAUAAAACUAAGGUAAUAAUACCUACCUUAUAAAGCUAUGAAGAGAAUUAAAUAAAGCAAUGUAUUUCAAAGUCUGGGUAUAAUGCCCUGCACAUAUCAGUACUCACUAAAUUAAAGUUAUUAAUACUAUUAUACACGAUAAUAAAUACAGAUAAGGGGCUAAUAUCCAAAAUAUAUAAAGAACUCAUUCAACUCAAUAACAACAACAAAAAUCUGAUUAAAAAAUGGGCAGAGGAAUUAAAUAGAUCUUUCUCCAAAGAAGACAUCCAAAUGGCCAAUAGGUACAUGAAAAAUGCUCAACAUCACUAAUUAUCACAGAAAUGCAAAUCAAAACUACAAUGAGAUGUCACCUCACCUGACCUGUUAGAAUGGCUAUCAUCAAGAAGACAAGAGAUAACAAAUGCUGGCAAGGAUGUGGAGAAAAGGGAACCCUUGUGCACUGUUCGUGAGAAUGUAAACUGGUCCAGCCACUACGGAAAUCAGAAUGGCAUUUCUUCAAAAAAUUAAAAAUAGAACUACCAUAUGAUCCAGCAAUUCCGCUUCUGGGUAUGUAGCCAAAGGAAACGAAAACAGGAUAUCAGAGAGAUAUCUGCACUCCUAUAUUUAUUGCAGCAUUAUUCCUAAUAGACAGGAUAUGUAAACACCCCAUGUGUCCAUCAGUGGAUGAAUGGAUAAAGAAGAUGUGAGAUAUAUAUAUAUAUAUAUAUAUUAUAUACAUGAAUAUUAUACAGUUAUGAGAAAGAAGGAAAUUCUGCCAUUUGUGACAAUAUGGAUGGACCUUGAGGACAUUAUGCUAAGUGAGAUUAAGUCAGACAGAGAAAGACAAAUACUAUAUAUCACUUACAUGUGGAAUCUAAACAAGCCAAACUCAUAAAAACAGAGAGUAGAAUGGUGGUUACCAGGGGCUGUGGGUGGGGGAGGGGUAGAAGAAUAGGAGAGAGGUUGUUUAAGGGUACAAAUUUGCAACUAGUACAUAAAUAAGUCCUGGAUAUCUAAUGCAUGGUAGAGUGAUUAGACACAACACUAUUGUAUUAUCAACAUCAAACUUGCUAAGAGACUAGAUCUUAAUUACUCCCACCACAAAAAAGAAAUGAUAAUUAUGUGAUGUGAGAGAGGUGUGAGCUAAUGCUACAAUGGUAAUCAUAUUGCAAUAUAUAAAUGUACCAAAUCAACAUGUUGUAUACCUUAAGCUUACACAAUGUUACACCUCAAUUAUACCUCAAUUAAAAAAAAGAAAGAAAAACACAGUGAAUGUAUUCCAAAGGGAAAACCCCUGGGUUUAUUCAUAAAGGGCUAUGCAAUUGUUAUUAUUUUCUUCACCAUUAUGAUGAGAUGAUGAGCUCAGCUCUAGAAGUUAAGUCUAAGAAAUGAACCACCUGAAAAGUAUUACCAGUUCUUCCCAUUAUUUCCAGUUUCACACUGGCAGGGACAUUCUCAAGUCACAGUAUGUACCCUAUAAAGCUGAUGCUUUUAACCAGCGUGCAUUUUUCCUCUGUUGAACCAACGCUUGCAUUCUCACUGACACCAAAACCUAAGGACUUUGGGUGAUAACGAUGUGUCACUGUGGGUUCAUCAAUUGUAACAAAUACCCCACUCUGGUGGGGGAUGUUGAUAAUGCGGGAAGGUAUGCAUGUGUGGGGGGCAGAGGGUUUAUAGGAAAUCUCUGUACCUUCAGCUCAAUGUUGCUGUGAAUGUAAAAUUGCUCUAAAAAAUAAAGUCUAUUAAGAAAGAAAUACGAAGGCACUUUGAAUUACAUCAACUGCAUCAGUGGGAGACAUGGAAAACACAAACGGUAAAUUUCACAAAACUUCAAUCUGACACAGCAAUUCAACCAUCGCCCUUUCCAUUAUUUUUCCAGCUCUGCCAAGAGGGCCACCUGGAGCUUAUGUG
ensembl:lncRNA